CACAUCUUCUUAUAUAUUUGGAAUGUUCUUUUCCCUAUAUCAGCCACGCUUUUCAUCAAAUUUCAGAGGGAGAGAGAGAUGGAAAAAGAAGGGAGAUUGAGGUUGAGGCGAAUUGCAAUGAAGGAGGAGGAGGUGGGGCCAUUGGAGUUCAUAGAAGAGAUGACGAGUCAUGUAGAUGAGGUGCAGCAGAUGGUGCUGGACGACAUCCUUUCCACCAACGCCAAUGCUGAGUACCUACAGAGGCAUGGGAUAUUCGGUGGAAGUAUAGACAGGAAAACCUUCAAGUCCAAGCUGCCAAUCAUCGAAUACGAAGACAUCCUGCCCGACAUACAGAGGAUUGCAAACGGUGAUCAUUCACCCAUUUUUUCUGCCCAACCCAUCUCCGAGUUACUAAUCAGCUCCGGAACUUCAGGCGGUGAGCAGAAAAUGAUCCCGGUGAUUGCCAACCAUCAUGAAGGGAUUUAUACAAUCUUCGGAUGGCUCAUUCCCACAGUCAUGAACAAGAAUAUGUCAGGAUUAGAUAAAGGAAAAGUCCUAUUCUUCUUCUCUACUAGAACAGAGACCAAGAGUCCCGCUGGAAUUAUCAUGCGGCCUGCACUUACAAGCUACUAUAAAAGUCCUCAAUUUCUUUGCAAACACUAUGCUAACAUCAACUACACCAGCUCCAUCCCCUCCAUCCAUUGCACAGAUGUCUUCCAAAGCUUGUAUGCUCAAAUGCUUGCUGGCCUGGCUGACCGGCUUGCUAUCUUUCAGAUAGGUUCAACUUUUGCACCAAGCUUUCUCCAGGCUAUCCGCUUCCUCAAGCAUCACUAUCAAGAACUUGCCGUAGAUAUUGAGCAUGGGACAGUGAAUCCACAAGUGACUGACACAGCAGUUAGAGCAGCAUUAGGAAACGCUCUAACCCCUGACCCAGAAAAUGCGGAACACAUAAGGAAGGAAUGUUCAAGUGGGGAUUUUCAGGGUAUCAUAAGGAGGAUUUGGCCAAAUACAAAAUUCCUGAAUCUUGUAGUGACAGGAUCAAUGGCACAGUAUAUUCCAAGCUUGAACUUCUACAGUGGAGACUUGCCUUUGGUCAGCACUGCCUAUGGAUCAUCAGAGUGCUUCUUUGGGCUAAACUUAUACCCUUUUACUAAGCCUGAGGACAUUGCCUACACCAUUAUGCCUAGCGUGGCCUACUUUGAGUUUUUGCCUAUCAAGCCUGCAGAUGAUAUUGGCCAGAUAAGUGCAAUGCAAGUGCUGGACCCUGUGGAUUUGGCUCACGUGGAGGACGGUAAAGAGUAUGAGAUCAUUGUGACCACUUACUCUGUGAGUUGUGCUUCUAUGAUAUCUGCAAAUUUGAGUACUGUUCCUGAGUUAAAUGGUUCGAAUUUUAAGGACUGGAAAGAAACUGUUAUGACUGUUCUGGGUUGUAUGGAUCUUGACCUUGCAUUUAGGGAGUUGUGUCCACCUCAUCCAACAGAUCAAAGUUCCCAUCAGGAUAAGCGGUACUUUGAAUGGUGGGAACUCUCAAACCGCAUGUGUCUAAUGAUCAUGAAGAGAUCAAUCCCAGAAAAUUUUCGGGGAUCUAUUACUGAAAAGGCUAGUGCCAAGGCGUUCCUUGAAGAGAUUGAAAAACGUUUUGCUUAAAAUGAAAAGGCUGAAACAAGCACUCUUUUGAGUAAACUUGUGACGCUGAAGUAUAAAAAUAAGGGGAACAUACAGGAGCACAUUAUGGAAAUGUCUCAUCUUGCUUCAAAAUUACAGGCGCUAGGUCUGAGGUUACCCGAAGACUUCAUAGUGCAUAUGGUUCUUCUUUCUCUUCCACCACAGUUUGGAAAGUUUAAAGUUAGUUAUAACUGUCAGAAGGAGAAAUGGACUCUUAAUGAGCUCAUUUCGCACUGUGUGGAAGAAGAGGAGAGAUUGAAGCAUGAUAAGAUAGAAAGUGCUCACUUGGCUACUACGCCUAAAAGUAAGAAAAGGAAGGCUAUUAAGGAAAUUGCAGUUGAUCACGCAUCCAUUAAGAAACAGAAAAAGCAUAAGGAAGGCAAAUCAAGCUGCUUCUUUUGCAAGGAUGAAGGUCAUAUGAAGAAGGAUUGUACUAAGUAUCAUGCAUGGCAUGAAAAGAAAGGGCUGCCUAAAUUGUAAGACGCCAAUUGAUGCUGAAAGAUUCAUCUAUGAGGGCGAUAACAUGAAGGCGAAGAUUGAAGCCAUAGCAGAUUUUCGGUUAUUGUUAAAGACUGGUUGUUAUUUGAAUUUGACAGAAACUUAUGUGGUGCCGUCUUUUAGACUGAAUCUAGUUUCUAUUUCCUCAUUGGACAAAUUUGGUUACUAUUGUUCAUUUGGAGGAAAUAAAUUCAAGUUGUUUCUGCAUUCAAAUUUGAUUUCCACUGGUUCUUUGUC